rnacentral:rRNA from 1 species
GACCUGACUGCUAUCGGAUUGAUACUAAGCCAUGCGAGUCUUUGUAGUAAUACAAGGCAGACGGCUCAGUAACACGUAGUCAACCUACCCUAUGGACAAGAAUAAUCUCGGGAAACUGGGCAUAAUUCUUGAUAGAUCAUAAUGCCUGGAAUGGUUUAUGGUUAAAAUGAUUCGUCGCCAUAGGAUGGGACUGCGGCCUAUCAGCUUGUUGGUGAGGUAAUGGCCCACCAAGGCGAUUACAGGUACGGGCUCUGAGAGGAGAAGCCCGGAGAUGGGUACUGAGACACGGACCCAGGCCCUAUGGGGCGCAGCAGGCGAGAAAACUUUGCAAUGUGCGAAAGCACGACAAGGUUAAUCCGAGUGAUUUCUGCUAAAGAAAUCUUUUGCCAGUCAUAAAACCACUGGUGAAUAAGGGGUGGGCAAGUUCUGGUGUCAGCCGCCGCGGUAAAACCAGCACCUCAAGUGGUCAGGAUGAUUAUUGGGCCUAAAGCAUCCGUAGCCGGCUUUGUUAGUUUUCGGUUAAAUCCAUGUGCUCAACACAUAGGCUGCCGAAAAUACUGCAUAGCUAGGGAGUGGGAGAGGUAGACGGUACUCAGUAGGAAGGGGUAAAAUCCUUUGAUCUAUUGAUGACCACCUGUGGCGAAGGCGGUCUACCAGAACACGUUCGACGGUGAGGGAUGAAAGCUGGGGGAGCAAACCGGAUUAGAUACCCGGGUAGUCCCAGCUGUAAACGAUGCAGACUCGAUGAUGCAUUGGCAUAAUAGCCAGUGCAGUGUCGCAGGGAAGCCGUUAAGUCUGCCGCCUGGGAAGUACGUACGCAAGUAUGAAACUUAAAGGAAUUGGCGGGGG